CGUUCUGUAAGCCUGCGAAGGUGUGCUGUGAGGCAUGCUGGAGGUAUCAGAAGUGCGAAUGCUGACAUAAGUAACGAUAAAGCGGGUGAAAAGCCCGCUCGCCGGAAGACCAAGGGUUCCUGUCCAACGUUAAUCGGGGCAGGGUGAGUCGACCCCUAAGGCGAGGCCGAAAGGCGUAGUCGAUGGGAAACAGGUUAAUAUUCCUGUACUUGGUGUUACUGCGAAGGGGGGACGGAGAAGGCUAUGUUGGCCGGGCGACGGUUGUCCCGGUUUAAGCGUGUAGGCUGGUUUUCCAGGCAAAUCCGGAAAAUCAAGGCUGAGGCGUGAUGACGAGGCACUACGGUGCUGAAGCAACAAAUGCCCUGCUUCCAGGAAAAGCCUCUAAGCAUCAGGUAACAUCAAAUCGUACCCCAAACCGACACAGGUGGUCAGGUAGAGAAUACCAAG
rnacentral:rRNA from 1 species